rnacentral:rRNA from 1 species
GUGAGGAAUUUUCGUCAAUGGGGGAAACCCUGAACGAGCAACGCCGCGUGGAGGACGAAGACCUUCGGGUUGUAAACUCCUGUCGGACGGGACGAAAGUUACCGAGGUUAAUACCCUUGGUAGUUGACGGUACCGUACGAGGAAGCCCCGGCUAACUUCGUGCCAGCAGCCGCGGUAAUACGAGGGGGGCAAGCGUUGUUCGGAAUUACUGGGCGUAAAGGGCGCGUAGGCGGUCUGACAAGUCUUCCGUGAAAGCCCACGGCUCAACCGUGGAACUGCGGGGGAAACUGCCAGACUUGAGUCCGGGAGGGGAGAGUGGAAUUCCCAGUGUAGCGGUGAAAUGCGCAGAUAUUGGGAGGAACACCGGAGGCGAAGGCGUCUCUCUGGACCGGUACUGACGCUGAGGCGCGAAAGCCAGGGGAGCGAACGGGAUUAGAAACCCGAGUAGUCC